rnacentral:rRNA from 1 species
CCCUUAGAUGUUCUGGGCCGCACGCGCGCUACACUGACAGAGCCAGCGAGUUCUUUUUCCUUGGCUGAAAAGUCAUGGGUAAUCUUGUGAAACUCUGUCGUGCUGGGGAUAGAGCAUUGCAAUUAUUGCUCUUCAACGAGGAAUUCCUAGUAAGCGUAAGUCAUCAGCUUGCGUUGAUUACGUCCCUGCCCUUUGUACACACCGCCCGUCGCUACUACUGAUUGGAUGUUUAAGCGAGGUUCUCGAACUGCUAGCGACUUAGCUUCGGUGAGGUCGCAGUGUGGGAAGUGAACCUAGCUUUGGUGUCUAGAGGAAGUAAAAGUCGUAACA